UAUUAUUUUGCCCAGGCCGCUGGCUACGUCAACGAUAAAACGCUGUGACUAGAUAGAAAGUACAUGUUUACAAGUUGGAUGACAAAAAAAAAAGCUAGAAAAGGAUAAGAUGAGGAGAAGGAUGGAAAGGAAAGAGGAUGUUGGCAAAUGAAGGUGACCAAAUCCCAAUAUUUAUGCACAAAAAUCAACACACCUCCAACAUGGCUGUUUUGUAGGGUUACAACGGGGUAACGGAGGGUUAGGGCUCGACCCCGGAGAGGGAGCCUGAGAAAUGGCUACCACUUUUAAGGAAGGCAGCAGGCGCGCAAAUAACCCAAUCCCGACACACGGGGAGGUAGUGACAAUAAAUAUUGAUACAAGGCUCUUAUGGGCCUUUUCCUCUAUGGAACCUCAUGUUCUUUACUGAGUAUGACAGGGAAAUAGGACUUUUACUUUGAAAAAAUUAGAGUGCUCCGGGGCAGGCCUAUGCUCAAAUAGUGCAGCAUGGAAUAAUAAAAUAGGACGUGUGGUUCUAUUUUGUUGGCUUCUAGGACCGCCGUAAUGAUUAAUAGGGACAGUCGGGGGCAUCAGUAUUCAACUGUCAGAGAUGAAAUUCUUGGAUCUGCUAAAGACUAACUAACUACUGUGAAAGCAUUUGCCAAGGAUAUUUUUAUUGAUAAGGAACAAAAGUUAGGGGAUCAAAGACAAUUAGAUACCAUCUUAGUCUUAAACAUAAACUAUACUAACUAGGGAUAAGAUAUUGUUUUUUUUGAUUCAUUCGGCACCUUUCAAGAAAUCAAAGUGGUUAGGCUCUAGGGGGAGUAUGAUCACAAGGCUGAAACUUAAAGAAAUUGACAGAAGGGCACCACCAGGAAUGGAACCUGUGGCUUAAUUUGACUCAACACGGGGAAACUCACCAGGUCCAGACAUAGUGAAGAUUGACAGAUUGAGAGCUCUUUCUUGAUUUUGUGGGUGGUGGUGCAUAGCCAUUCUUAGUUGGCGGAGUGAUUUGUCUGCUUAAUUGCGAUAACGAAAGAGACCCUAAUCUGCUAAAUAGCCCGUAUUGCUUUGGCAGUACGCUGGCUUCUUAGAGGGACUAUCGGCUCAAGCUGAUGGAAGUUUGAGGCAAUAACAGGUCUGUGAUGCCCUUAGAUGUUCUCUGGGCCGCACGUGUGUUAUGCUGACACAGCCAGCGAGUCUUUCCUUGGCAGAGAUAUGUCCGAGUAAUCUUGUUAAACUGUGUCGUUCUGGGGAUGGAGCAUUGCAAUUAUUGUUCUUCAACGAGGAAUCUCUAGUAAGUGCGUCAUCAGCUUGCGUUGAUUAUAUCUAUGGUCUUUGUACAUAUCACCCAUCACUACUACCAAUUGGAUGGCUCAGUGAGAUUUCCGGAUUGGCUUAGAAGAGUGGGAAACUACUUUUCAUAGCCGAGAAGCUACUCAAACUCGAUCAUCUAGAGGAAGUAAAAGUUGUAGCAAGGUCUCCGUUGGUGAACCAGCGGAGG
rnacentral:rRNA from 1 species